rnacentral:rRNA from 1 species
ACGACGCUGGCGGCGUGCCUAACACAUGCAAGUCAAGGGUCGUUUAUAGCAAUAUGGACGGCACUGGCGUAAGGGUGAGUAACGCGUAGGUCAUCUGCCCCUAUCACCGACAUAACAGUUCUAACGGACUGCUAAUAUCGGAUGAGGAACGAAAGUUUCAAGGGAGCGAUCCGGAUAGGGAUGAGCCUGCGUCCGAUUAGGUAGUUGGUGAGGUAACGGCUCACCAAGCCGACGAUCGGUAGCUGGUCUGAGAGGACGAACAGCCACACUGGAACUGAGACACGGUCCAGACUCCUACGGGAGGCAGCAGUGAGGAAUAUUGGUCAAUGGACGCAAGUCUGAACCAGCGACGCCGCGUGCGGGAAGAAGGGGCUUUGCCUCGUAAACCGCUGUCAGGAGGGACGAGAGGAUGCCUUAGGCAUCUGGGACGGUACCUCCGAAGGAAGGAUCGGCUAACUACGUG